GAUGAACGCUGGCGGCGUGCCUAAUACAUGCAAGUCGAGCGAACAGACGAGGAGCUUGCUCCUCUGACGUUAGCGGCGGACGGGUGAGUAACACGUGUAUAACCUACCUAUAAGACUGGGAUAACUUCGGGAAACCGGAGCUAAUACCGGAUAAUAUAUUGAACCGCAUGGUUCAAUAGUGAAAGACGGUUUUGCUGUCACUUAUAGAUGGAUCCGAGCCGCAUUAGCUAGUUGGUAAGGUAACGGCUUACCAAGGCGACGAUGCGUAGCCGACGUGAGAGGGUGAUGGGCCACACUGAAGCUGAGACGCGGUCCAGACACCGACGGGAGGCAGCAGUAGGGAAUCUUCCGCAAUGGGCGAAAGCCUGACGGAGCAACGCCGCGUGAGUGAUGAAGGUCUUCGGAUCGUAAAACUCUGUUAUUAGGGAAGAACAAAUGUGUAAGUAACUAUGCACGUCUGGACGGUACCUAAUCAGAAAGCCACGGCUAACUACGU
rnacentral:rRNA from 1 species